CAAUGCAGGGUCCGAGUUGCAUCUGUGACCUACACCAUAGCUCACCGCAACAGUGGAUCUGCGACCCACUGAGUAAGGCCCAGAAUUGAACCGGCAUCCUCAUAGAUACUGAUCAGAUUCGUUUCUAUUGCACCAUAGAGGGAACUCCCCAUUGGUGUACUUUUAAAUCUCAUCUCUUUCAUUUUUUAAGUGCAUGUGUGCUCUUAGCAUGUGUUCAACAGAUGCCAGGGGGAGGAAGGUGACAAGAGAAGUCGCACAAUACAGAAUCACUCUUUUUUACCCUUGAAACCAAUAGAGUUUAAUUGUAUGCACUAUAUACACACGUGUGUAUGUAUUAUGUAUACACAUAUAUGAAUGUAUGUAUUUAAUAUUUAGCAUAGUAACCUGUGGGUUUUUUUAAAUGUAUUUUAUUUUGAAGUAUAACAUACUCAUAAAAAAGUGAUACAACCCUUAUAAUUGCUGCCCAUGUGAAAAAGAAAGAGGAGACAGAGGAGAAGGAAGAAGUGGAGGAAUAGGAGGUAGAAGAGAAAUAGAGGAUGAGAAAGAGAAGAAUUAGAAGCUUUCGAAAAAUUUGACUGGCAUAUCAGAAGUCUUGUGAAUUUAUUCCCAAUCACAACCCUCUCCUCACGCUCUUCCCUUAAUAAGCCCUAGCCUCACUUUUUAUGUAGUCAUUUCUUGCUUUCUUUAUAGUCUUGCCACUUUAGUGUGUGCCCAUAUACUCCAUAUAUGUCCAUACAGUUUAGUGAUGUAUGUUUGGGAACUUGAUGUAAGUAUAAUCAUCCUGGAUGUAUUUAGUCUUGUUUCUUCCAUUUGUUACCCAUGUUGUUGAAUACCUCUAUGGUUUGUUGAUUUUCAUUGUUUUGUAGUAAAUGCUGUAAAAGUGUACCACAAUUCCUGUAUCUACUCUGCUAUAUUAGACACCUGGGUUGAUUACAGUUUGCCCCUAACUUCAAAUAAUGUUGCCAUAACUAUUCUUACACUUUUGGUGCACAGGACAUGUAUUUUUUUUUCCUCAACCUAUACUUUUAUUAUUGCCAUUUUAUGAGUAGGAAAAAUUACAGUUUACAAAACACACUUGAGGUCACCCUACUUAUUCAUAACAGAGGUGGAAUUAAGAGACAUAUAACUACAUGCACUUGUUGGAACAUGGAGGACAUGCAUUUCUGUUGGACAUAGUCCUGGUCAAUACAAAUUAAAAAUGUGACCAUGGGCAAUGAAUCUAACUUACUCUAAAUGAAAGUGCAGUGAGCCAGUAAUCUAAUGAAGGAAAACAACCAUUCUUUUGGUUAUUCUAAGGUUGUAGAUGCCGCCUGAACACAGAGAUGGCCAUUUCCAUCCAGGUGAAUAAAAAAAGAGUAUCCAAGAUUGUAUCUUUGCUUAAGAUUCAUGUCUGCAAGUUAUGUUUCAUUAAGAAAAUAAAAUGUUUUAGUUUUUAAACUAUCCCUGGUACUAGUUCUAGAAUUCCAAAAUUAAUAGGAUGAAAUAUCCUUGGAGGGCAGAGAGUAUAUCUCACUUGUCUUUUAUGUUCUUCACAGGGACCAUGGCAAUGCUGGAAAGAUGUUAAGUCUCCACUAAUUAUGCAUUGCCUUAAUAAAUAUUCUUUUAACUUAAAACUUUUUAUGUUCUGGGUUUUUUUUGUUUGUUUGUUUUUGUUUUUUGUCCACACCUGUGGCAUGUGGAAGUUUCUGGGUCAGGGAUAAAACCUGUGCAACAGCAGCAGCCUGAGCCACUGUAGUAACAACACCAGAUCCUUAACUUGCUGCGUUAUGAGAGAGCUCCACUUCUUUGGUUUUGAAAGCCUCUUUCUUGAAAAAAUAAGAAAAUAAUAUUGUGGGUGAGUCCAUCUUUUUUCUUCAUAAUUUUUUUUAACCAAAUUCAUAUAUGUCCUAAGUGCAGGCAGUAUAUUUCUGAGGCUUUUAAAAUUAUAAUUUGGACCUUUUGUUUGCCUUUUGAAAUGAAAGACAAAAUGAACAAUACACUAAGAUGAAAGUAUAUCACUCAUGAUAGACCUGUGCUUCAAAUUAAAUAUAUUUUAGGCCUUAGCUGAUUUUGCCAGUUAAGGCCAGAUCAUGGUAAAUUGAUUUCAGUUAUCUUCCUGUUUUUUUUAAUGGGCUUUGUUCUAAAGCUUCAGCUGAAGAAUCAAACUGUUCUGGAUUAACUGAAGUCUUGUUCCUGUUCAUACAAAUGCAGUCAACAUGAACACUAUAACUCAUCCAAGAACCAUUUAAACUAUUAAGGAAAAGGUGAUUUAAUUGUAGCUCAGUGGGUUAAGGACCCACUCGAUCUCUGGCCUCACUCAGUGGGUUAAGGACUGGGUGUAGAUGCAGCUCAGAUCUGGCGUUGCCAUGGCUGUGGCAUACGCCACAGCUGCAGUUCCCAGUCAACCCAUGGCCUGGGAAAAUCCAUAUGCCACAGAUGCAGUUGUAAAAAGUAAAAGAAAAAGAAAAAUUGCAUAUCCAGUAUCAGGCUGGGAGAGAACACUGCUUCUUAUGAAUCCAGCAUACUACCCACACCAUGAUUCAUUUUGCUUCUUUGCUGUAACACAUGUUAGCAUUCUUUUU
rnacentral:lncRNA from 1 species